rnacentral:rRNA from 1 species
GCCGUAAACGUUGGGCGCUAGAUGUAGGGACCUUUCCACGGUUUCUGUGUCGUAGCUAACGCAUUAAGCGCCCCGCCUGGGGAGUACGGCCGCAAGGCUAAAACUCAAAGGAAUUGACGGGGGCCCGCACAAGCGGCGGAGCAUGCGGAUUAAUUCGAUGCAACGCGAAGAACCUUACCAAGGCUUGACAUACACCGGAAACGGCCAGAGAUGGUUGCCCCCUUGUGGUCGGUGUACAGGUGGUGCAUGGUUGUCGUCAGCUCGUGUCGUGAGAUGUUGGGUUAAGUCCCGCAACGAGCGCAACCCUCGUUCUAUGUUGCCAGCGCGUUAUGGCGGGGACUCAUAGGAGACUGCCGGGGUCAACUCGGAGGAAGGUGGGGAUGACGUCAAAUCAUCAUGCCCCUUAUGUCUUGGGCUUCACGCAUGCUACAAUGGCCGGUACAAAGGGCUGCGAUACCGUAAGGUGGAGCGAAUCCCAAAAAGCCGGUCUCAGUUCGGAUUGAGGUCUGCAACUCGACCUCAUGAAGUCGGAGUCGCUAGUAAUCGCAGAUCAGCAACGCUGCGGUGAAUACGUUCCCGGGCCUUGUACACACCGCCCGUCAAGUCAUGAAAGUCGGUAACACCCGAAGCCG